AUACCGCGAUGUGGGCAUUGUCUUAACAACUAUUUAAAUCUCUCCCAUGCAUCAUACAACGAUCCCCCUUCCGCUAGCAGAAAUUAUUAAUUUCCCCUCUCAACUU